GGGUGGGGGAGCAAACAUGAACAUGAUAGUGAAUAAUAGAGUAAAACUGCUUAGCAUUUCAAAUGCUCAGAAGAAAGCCAAUCUUUUACAGCCGCCAAGUCAGGUAAUACAGUAGCACCAGAUUUCCUCCAAGUUUCAGCUUCAGGUAUCUUAAAUCUGUCUAACAACAGAGCCUGCAUUCCCACGCUCUUCGCAGGAUAGUAGUCUUUGCGUAUGCUGUCUCCAAUGUGCAGAGCUUCUCCAGGUGCAAUAUUUCCAGCCCUUUCCAGGGCUAUCUGAUAUAUCCUCGGGUCUGGCUUCUCUACACCUUCGAGGCCUGAGAACACGCCAAAGUCCCACUCA
rnacentral:lncRNA from 1 species